GACCUAUCCGGUGGCUUAUUGGUUAAAGCGUCCGCCUUGGAUGCGGGAGGUAGUCGAUUCGAUCUCCUGCCGAGUCA